rnacentral:tRNA from 1 species
GGGCAUGCGCCCGUAGCUCAGCUGGAUAGAGCGUUGGCCUCCGGAGCCAAAGGUCGAAGGUUCAAAUCCUUUCGGGC